rnacentral:lncRNA from 1 species
AUGUCCACGUCCCGUGCACACCCCUCUAGGGUCAGCCUCCGCCCGCAUCCUCGGGGCCGUAACUGGCGCUCCCCGCGCCGGGACAGGAAGUACCGCCCUCCCGCGCCGGGGGCCGCGGUGUCCUCGGCGCGCAUUGGCCGCGGCGGCCGUCAAUCGCCCGGAGGGCGGGGCCUCGCGCCGGGGAGCGGAAUCUCCGGGGCGGGCGGCGGAGCCUCCGCGAGCCCUCCCCAGGGCUCCGGCCUUCGCCAAGCGCUGCAGCCCGGGAUCUCGGGUCCAGCCAGCCAGAGCCGCCACGGAGCAUCGCCCGUUCGGCUAGCCACCGCUUUCCGGGGUUUGCCCGUGGGUCCCAAACACGUCAACUUUUUAAGUGCAAGCGCCGCGCCGUUCUCGGACCGUAACAUGCCCGCAGUAGCCUGGGGUCCCGACGAGCACAGAUCCGCGCCACGCACACCCCGAACUCGACUCCGCGAUGCACCCCCUGACAAGACACAGCGCGGCCGCCCGCGGGGGCUGUGCGCGCGCCGGGGCACAGCCAGCCCCUCGGGGCAUGACGGCCAUCGCGGCGCGCCCCGGACGCUCUACGAAGGCCGGCACCCCGAAGACCGGUCGCCGAACCACUGUCCUCCGGGUUCUCGCCCCAGCCAAGGGCAGACGCACAGACCCGCGCGCCGUGAAACCUGA